CUGUUGGUGAAGGCUAGACCUGUCCGAGCUCACAGCUUUCCUCUUCCGGUCGACGUUUAUUCGCGGUCUGUGAAGGAUCCAUCCUACAUAGUCGUGUCCUUCGAAGGAUGCAGACCCUGAAUUCAGACACAGCUCCUGUGAAAUAUUUAACACAUCCACGUUUCCAGGAAACCAGCAGAAGCAGAAAGGUUCAAAUACAAACAAGCAGACCGGAGACCGUCCCAAAAGCAUGCUUCUGAGUGCAGCGCCCCUACAGGCGAGGAGGGGAACAGGUUGGUUUGACUGAGAGCAGAAAGAAAAGAACCACAGCAGCUGGAGAUCCCUCUGACCUGACCUAACUGGAGGACUGCAGCUCUAUAGAAACACCCUAGAUCACAAAGAGUCCAGCUGAAGGAACCAGAGAUUCCCAGAAUAAUCCCAGAGAGUCUGUUGCUGCCAGGCGGCGUUCUGGACUCACCU